GCUACAUCACGUUAAAACACCGUUUCUCGUACGAUCACCGAAGUUAAGCAACGUCUAGCCUGUUCAGUACCUAGAUGGGGGUCCGCUUGGGAAUACCAAG
rnacentral:rRNA from 1 species